rnacentral:rRNA from 1 species
UUUGCAUAUUCCAAAAAGCGGAGGAAAAGAAACCAACAGGGAUUGCCUCAGUAACGGCGAGUGAAGCGGCAACAGCUCAAAUUUGAAAUCUGGCCUCUUGGGGUCCGAGUUGUAAUUUGUAGAGGAUGUUUCGGGUACCGCCUCGGUUUAAAUUUCUUGGAACAGAAUGUCAAAGAGGGUGAGAAUCCCGUCUUGGACCGGCGGUAGGGCCUAUGUGAAACUCCUUCGACGAGUCGAGUUGUUUGGGAAUGCAGCUCAAAAUGGGUGGUAAAUUUCAUCUAAAGCUAAAUAUUGGCCAGAGACCGAUAGCGCACAAGUAGAGUGAUCGAAAGAUGAAAAGCACUUUGAAAAGAGAGUUAAACAGUAUGUGAAAUUGUUGAAAGGGAAGCGCUUGCAACCAGACUUGAGCGCGGCGGUUCCCCCUUGCUUCUGCUUGGGUUACUCCGCCGUGUCCAGGCCAACAUCGGUUCUGGGGGUCGGUCAAAGGCUCUGGGAAUGUAUCUACCCACGGGUAGACUUAUAGACCAGGGUGUCAUGCGACCUCCCGGGACCGAGGAACGCGCUUCGGCUCGGAUGUUGGCGUAAUGGUUGUCAGCGACCCGUCUUGAACCCCCGGACCAAA